UACGUAGGGCGCAAGCGUUAUCCGGAAUUAUUGGGCGUAAAGAGCUCGUAGGCGGUUUGUCGCGUCUGCCGUGAAAGUCCGGGGCUCAACUCCGGAUCUGCAGUGGGUACGGGCAGACUAGAGUGUGGUAGGGGAGACUGGAAUUCCUGGUGUAGCGGUGAAAUGCGCAGAUAUCAGGAGGAACACCGAUGGCGAAGGCAGGUCUCUGGGCCACUACUGACGCUGAGAAGCGAAAGCGUGGGGAGCGAACAGG
rnacentral:rRNA from 1 species